GACGAACGCUGGCGGCGUGCCUAAUACAUGCAAGUAGAACGCUGAAGGCGGAGCUUGCUUCUCUGGAUGAGUUGCGAACGGGUGAGUAACGCGUAGGUAACCUGCCUGGUAGCGGGGGAUAACUAUUGGAAACGAUAGCUAAUACCGCAUAAUAGUAGAUGUUGCAUGACAUUUGCUUAAAGGUGCAAUUGCAUCACUACCAGAUCGACCUGCGUUGUAUUAGCUAGUUGGUGGGGUAACGGCCCACCAAGGCGACGAUACAUAACCGACCGGAGAGGGUGAUCGGCCACCCUGGGACUGUGACAAGACCCAGAGGCAUACGGGAGGCGGCAGUAGGGUAUCUUCGGCAAGGGACGGAAGUCUGACCGAGCAACGCCGCGUGAGUGAAGAACGGUUUCGGAUCGUGAAGCACUGUUGUAAGAGAAGAAAGAGUGUGAGAGUGGAAAGUUCACAAUGUGACGGUAACUUACCAGAAAGGGACGGCUAACUACGUG
rnacentral:rRNA from 1 species